rnacentral:pre_miRNA from 1 species
GGCACAAACUUGAAGUAGAGUGGUUGAGUAUGACCAGAUGAUCCUUCUAAUCUACUUUGCUUCGAAUUUGGGCCC